AAUUCGAGACCAACCUGGGCAACAUAGUGAGACCCUGUCUCUAUUAGAAAUACAAUUUUUUUAUCAAAUUAAAAAAAACUAAAAUGCAUGGAAUCCCUUAAAUCUCACUUUAACGGAGAAAAGUAUUCUAUCCCACUCUCUCUAAGCCAGGAAGGGAACUGCUGACCAAUUGGAAACCUGGGUGCUGAGAGUAUUACAUUUUCUAGGAAAUGUGGAGAAAUGGCUUUGGCUUGGGAAUCUGGAAAUUAAGCCUGCAGUUUCCGCAGUAGUUUCUGGUUCUGUCUUCCUGCACGCCCUCAGGACUCGGAACAUUAUUAUGCACUUGCCUAGAGUCCUGUGCCUCUAUCCCUUUACCUGGGCUGAUUCCUAUUUACUCAACUACCAUUCAACAAAUAUUUGAGUGGUCUCCAUGUGCUGGAAAUGAGAGAGAGCAAAGAACCAUGGAGACUGUCUUUAAGGAGCUAAUGGUAGAGUGGGGGAAACUGACAGGACUGACUCAUCCUUUAAGAUCAAGUUUAGGUUGGCCUCUUCUUCCAGGAAGCCUUCUGGAUGAUGCCCCUGGCCAGGUUAUUGCUACAAACUGAAUGUCUGUGAUCCUUCGAAGUUCAAUGUUGAAAACUUAACUCCCAAUGUGAUGGUAUUAGGAAUGGGGCUUUUGGGAGGUAAUUAAGUCAUGAAGGUGGAACUCCUAUAAAUGGAUGAGUGUCCUUAUAAAUGAGACCCCAGAGAGCACUUCAGUACUCUUUCUGCCAUGUGUGGACACAGCAAGAAGACUGCAGUCUAUCAAUCAAGAAUCAGGGCCUCACCAGACACUGAAUCUGCUGGUGCCUUGAUCUUGGACUUCCCAGCCUCCAGGACUGCGAGAAAUAAAUGUUUGUUGUUUAAGCCCCCUAGUCUAUGGUAUUUUUGUUGUAGCAGCCCAAACUGACCAAGACAGUUAGGAAUCCCUGUUCUGUACAUCCCUGAAUCAGAGGUUCUCAAAGAAGCAUUCUGCAUCAGAAUCCUGCAGGAAGAAUAAACGGCCCACCCCACAUCUCCCCAGGGAGAGCCUCCAGGAGCAGGCCCUGGAAUCUGCAUUUUAAACAUGAUUCUCAGGUGAUUCUAACACACAAUACGAUUUAAAAACCAUUGUUAAUGCCAACUUUCUUAUAGUAGAAUUAAUGACCUCUUAAUGCUCGCCUCCCUAUCUGGAAAAUGAGCUCUUUGAAGAGAAAAAUGAUGUCUUAUUAAUUUUAUAUUCAUUCCUCUCUUAGUACCAAGCACAGAAUCGGGCACUCAACAGAUGUUUGUUGAAUGAAUAAAAUGACUGUUUCCCAUUCCUCACCUGUCUGUGAGGGCUGAAGAUGGGAAUGUUUAGGGCAGUGUUUGCUCCUUGGAAUUUCUGAUAAGAACGAAUUCGUUAGUCAAUCCUUAUUCACUCGGCUGGGAGCGGAUUGAAUACACAGUGGAGAAGCUUGGAGAAUAACUUGCUUGCACCUCCUGGAUUUGAUAGCAAGGCAUUUUUUUGGACCAUAAUUAGAACCAUGGAAACACGCACUCAAACCCUGGGCUGUGCCUUGACAAACACUUGUACUGGAACGCUGAAUCAGAGGCCUGGCUGGGUGCUUUAAAUUUACUACAGUGUAAUUUUUUGGCAUUACCCUUUUCGUUUGGUUCCGCUAAUGAAAAUGAAAUAUGUAAUUUCACCAAAGUUCCACUGUAAUUUAGCAAUUAAUGUGCAAUUAUUUUAAUGCAUUACUUUCUUUUUAGCAAACAAACAAAUUAGGAGGUUGCAUGUUUUGCCUGGCUUUAAAUUACUAAAACUAGCCUCUCAUUUUCCACAUGGGCAAAUGUUGCUCAUGUGCCUCGUAACACAUUUAGAUUUACACAAUUUCCUAGAAAUGCAGACACAGGAGGGUGAGCAGGCAUGCACACUUUAGAUUGAGAGACUUUCAAAAUCAAGGCUCUGAACAUCUCGGGCUGAUAUGCUGGCUGAAUCGGAUACUCCCCAGUUCCCCGGAGCCUGGCAAACCUCAGACCCUAGAAACAGCACUGGAGAUUGUAUCUUAGUAGCAGGAUGAUAUCCAGGCAUUGUUUCAGAUCCACAUUCAGGCUGUCCAAUCUGGAGGACCAUUGGCAGCAUAAGAAAAAGAAGAAAAAAAGUGCAUAGAAUUCUGCCUUGAACAUCACUGUCCACGGGCUGCCUUCAAAAGACAGAAGGGCUCUACCACGGAAUGCCUGUUUCAGAUUUAAAAAAUAACCUGCUGAGAUAUGCUGGCAGGGCUUCCUUCAGCAGCCACAAGAAGCUUCUCAGGUGAGAAGAAACCCACUGCUGUUAGCACUAUAGAUUUCUUUAAGGUCACAGGCCUCUUCCAAUUAGGGGUAUCAUCCAUCUCUGGUGGCCUUUCCCUCCUGAAGCUGGGGAAAUAUUUCCUCCCCCUCCAACCCAUUUACCACCCGCUCCAUAUAACCGCCUUGAAGACCUCUUUGGGCUUGAAGAAUAACUUAAGACAGUUUUCCUAUUGAGUGCUGAACAUUUGCCUCCCCCUCCCCCUCCAGCCUGUCACUCUUUCCGGGCUUGUGACUGCUUCAGAAUUGUGAACUUCAAAUUUCCCCACUGUUUUGUUGAUCCUGGGCUUUUGAUUCAAGGGCCUGUCUGGCAGGAGAUGGCCUAAGCACAUCAGCAAUAGCAGAUGACAAAUGCCAAAACAGAAAGAAAAUAGGAUACAAAUGAUUUCCUCCUACAUAUUUACAUUUACCUGCUCCAGAGAUUGUGCAUUUGGGGUUCUACCCGUUAUUAAGUAGGAGCCUACGUUAUGCCUAUAAUGACCUCAUCAUGCUGCGUGAUUAUGGGCUGCAGCCGCCAAACACUUUCAGACGACACUGUGAACUUUAAAUUGGCACUCCAAUCUCCCAGUGGCCUGUCAGUCAUGAGAAUCGCGUCUUUAUGCCAGCAAGCCCCUUGGAUGGAGUCUGACAUUGCAAUCUUCAGUAAAUUACCCUGUCACUGACAAUCUUGCAGUUAUCUCGCAAACAAUCAAGCAGGCAAUCAAACUGUUCUGAAUUGCCAGUUCAGGACCUGAGAGGUGGCCGAUGUCUCCAUUCAACAGCAGAGGGAAAGCGGCCUGGCCCUCCUAUGACAAUGGACGAUUUCUUUAUUUAUUUAUCUACCUACUUAUUUGUUAGUCUGGUUGGCUUUUUCCUGGGGAAGGGGGUGAGGAUGGUAGGAGAGGUUUGCAGAGUCCUCAAAAAGGGCCCAAUACUGACUCAGCGGUUAUGGGAAAGCGACUUAGGCCUUCUGAAUCAGCCCACACUGCGGUGGCUCAUGUCUGCUUAAUCUUACUUCACUCAGUGAAACGGGGCCAAAAAGAAUUAUCUAGGUGUUUUCUGUCAGAACGGACGCUAAAUCACAGCUCUGGUUCUAGUCUACUCAUACACGUCAUAAGCUAAUUGUAAUGACAAUUUCAGAGAAAUGUGAUCAUGGAGAAACUUUCUGGGAAUGAUACCAAGGCAUUCUAUUUAUUGCUUUUGAUAAAGCAAAUCAGAGAGAUUCUUCCAUAACAGUUCUGGCAACGUGAAACAGGUUCAUUAAUGCUGAAUUGAAACCUUUGGAUUAGAAGUCCCAAGGUAAAAAGCCAAAAAUUCUACACAGCAUCAGAGGUGACAGCCUGGCCUCUGGAAUCAGAUGGAUUUGGGUUUGAAGCUCGUCUCUGCUAGUUCCCUGGCUGUGUGAGCUUGGAAAGGAGGGGUGACGCUUCCUUCCCCAAGGAAGUCUGAAGACAAGGCAGUGGACACCCAUCAACAGGGGAAAGAGAAAAUGAAUGAAUGGGAGCUCUGUAAACCACAUCAGCAACCUCGAAAAUGUCCAACUGCAAAGACCCAUGUCUACAAAUUGCUGUCAGCCAGAGGAAUGGCUGUAACUUCCUUGGUGCCGAGAGAUGGGAUUUCACUAUGUUGGCCAGACUGGUCUCGAACUCCUGACCUCGUGAUCCGCCCGCCUUGGCCUCCUGAAGUGCUGGAACUAUAGGCGUGAGCCACCGUGCCCGGUCAAGAUAAUUUCUUAUAGGACAACAGGACAGGAUCACCCAGGAAAAGAUGGACUCCCUGCUCAGUUCCUACUUACAGUAUCUGAGUCACUUAACUAAAUGCAAUCGGCCCAGCUGCAGGCACCACUGCUCGGGCCACUAUAAGAACCAGCCCCUGAGCUUCCGGACAGGAAACAGCAUCUGCAUUUCCAGACUGUAGCAGCUCAUCAUGCCAGGCUCCACAGGCAAGAAUCAAGCAGAUGGAAGCUACAGAGGAAACAAACAGGGUUCCCUGAAAUCAGCAGCUGGGGAGAAUUUAUCUUACAAGGGUGGAAUUCUUGAUUCUUUCAUUACAUGUCCUCUUGCAGCAGCAGCAAAAGUAAUAAAAAAUAAGAGCCUAUUUUUGCCUGGGCACUUGCUACAUGCCAGGCAUAAUAGCAAAUGCUGAUGUGUGUUAUCACAUUUCAUCCUCCCCAAAACCCUAGUCUCAUCUCAGAAGAGAACAGUGGUUUCUAGAGAAGUUAAGGAAUGGAUCCAGUGCCAUUGAGCUUGGUUGGUGGCCAAGCAAGGAUUUGAAGUUGGAUUUGCAUGAGUUUUAACAAUUUUGGGGGACACAUCCAUCUUUUCCAAGAACCUAGUUGUAGCUGCCAGCAUAUCUGGUGGCUGGCCUGGUUUGUUAAGGCCCCUCACAAUGCCACUGAGCGGAUAAGAAGGAGGAAGGAAGAACUUAGCAGUGCUAGGGUCAGACCUGGGCAGAGCAGGCUGGCCUGAGGACAGGGAGACAUCACACUGGGGCAGAGAAAAAAGGGUGCCUGGAAAGGUCUGGAUGGCUUUGCUGGGUGUUGGCUGUACUUGGUCUGUAAGUGGCUUUGGGAGCUGGCCCCUUCCCAAUUCCCUAAACGCCACUCUACCUGUAUGUUUUCCAGCCAUACUGCUCUUCUCUCUGUUCCUGGAAGAUGCCAAGCUCAUCCCAGCCAUAGGGCCUUUGCACCAGCCUUUCCCUCUGCCUGGCCUAUUCUUUCUCCUGAUCUCACAGCUGCUUGCUUCUUGUUAAUCCUGCCUUUGCAUAAAUAUCAUGACCUAAGAGAGGGCUUCCCUGACUACCCAACUGAAAUACCUCUAUCAAAAUGUAAAUCAAAACCACAAUGAGAUACUAUCUCACACAAGUCAAAAUGUCUACCAUUAAAAAGUCAAA
rnacentral:lncRNA from 1 species